rnacentral:tRNA from 1 species
GCUGUGGUGGCCGAGUGGUUAAGGCGUUGGACUCGAAAUCCAAUGGGUUCUACCCACGCAGGUUCAAAUCCUGCCCGCAGCG